UUUUAUUCAUGACGUUAAUAUUUUAGCAUUUUAUUACAACAAACAAUACACAUGCGCCCUGGUUGUGCCAAUUUGUCCUUGUAGUUGUCUUUAAUUAGCUGUGUGAGAAGCAUGGAGGCCUGUUUCAGUCAGCAAAGGUCAUUAGCUUUGUAGCCUACUAACAUAUUACACCACUAAACACAAAGCAUAUGAUUUGAAUUCCAGCAUCACUUCACACCGCUACCAAGGACAAAACCGGCUAUUUGUGAAUAAAGAUGAAAAGAGAAACAACACAUCUACAGCAGCACAGAGAAGAAAGAGGAUGGAGAGGACAGGAGGAGUAGGUGCCAAGUUUGUCCGCUUGGUGUCGCCAGAACUCUUCUUCUGGAGGCAAAUGCGUGAUUCCUUCUUCUGGGCAAUACCUGUCUGUGCCUGCAGAGGACGCCAUCAUGCACGUGUUUCAACCACUGAGAGAUAUUUCACACUAGAGGAAAGGAGAAAGGGGGUGUGUUCUACCCUGAUGUUUACUUUGGGAAUUCAACUGUUUGCUGAUAGCUGUGUACAGAAAUUUGGACAUAUAUUCUGUAGUUUUUCCUCUCUCUGCCUAAAGGCCACUUAUUGACUUGAGAUGCACAUCCCGACUCACAAAGCCACUCUUCGCUCUGUUCAUCUUCUCAAUUUAUUUCUUGAUUUAUGAUUUUGGUACUGUCUGAUUCUGCUCUCUGCUGCUGCUGCUGGUGGUGAUGGUGAUGCUGCGGUGACCCAGUUUCCGCACAGGGAUCUAACUCUCGAGGGGGAAUACGGAUUUUGACAUUUAAAGUUGCAAAGGCCCUGGUGUGAAAUGCCCCCAAAAGAGCUAUAAUGAGGAGACAUGAUACAUUUCAGAAGGAUAUGUCAUAUAAGUAUCACAGCAAAAUUACAAGCCCCUAACAGAAUAUUAUGGGCACAAACAGAAAUACAACAGAAGAUAAAGGAUCAUGAAACACCUCAUAGGUCACUAGGUUACUGAUAGGAACAUGAGAGAAAUUAUAUUGCAGGACAUUUCCAUGAUAAAACAUUUCCUAAAAUGUGACUGAUAAGAUUAACAGCAGCAACACAUUGGCACA